AUGGAAAGUCUGGGAAGCGCAGCUGGAGGCACCUGGCGCGGCACUGGGGUGGAACGGGCAGGGCCGGGCAGGGCGCGGGCAGGAUGGGCAGGGAAAGCAGGAGAGGGAGCAUCGGGGAGGACGGGGAGCAUCGGGAAGGACGGGGAGCAUCGGGAAGGACGGGGAGCAUCGGGGAGGACAGGGAGGGAGGACAGGGAGCAUCGGGAAGGACGGGGAGCAUCGGGAAGGACGGGGAGGGAGGACAGGGAGCAUCGGGGAGGACAGGGAGCAUCGGGAAGGACGGGGAGGGAGGACAGGGAGCAUCGGGAAGGACGGGGAGCAUCGGGGAGGACAGGGAGCAUCGGGAAGGACAGGGAGGGAGGACGGGGAGGGAGGACAGGGAGCAUCGGGGAGGACAGGGAGAGAAGGCAGAACAAAAAGCACAGGCGGGGAAGGCAGAGCAGGCAGGAUGGGGAGCACCAGGGAGGGCAGCGAGGAGAGGACAGGGAGCAUCAGGAAGGGCAAGAAACAGGCAGGACAAGGAGUACCAGGCAGGAGAGGCAGGAGAGGCAGGACAGGGAGGAUCGGGAAGGACAGGGAGCACCAGGAAGACAGACAGGGCAGGAAGCACAGGCAGGGAAGGCAGGAGAGGCAGGGGGGGAAACACGGGCAAGACACGGAGAGCAGGCAGGACAGGGAGCGUCAGGAAGGACAGGCAGGACAGGGAGCGUCAGGAAGGACAGGCAGGAAAGGAGGCAGAGGAAGGAAGGGAACAUCAGGAAGGACCAGGGCCUUCAGGAAGGACAGGGAGCAUCAGGAAGGGCAGGCAGGGAAAGCAGGGAAAGCAGGGAAGACAGGAAUGGCAGGAAUGGAAGGAUAGAGAGCAUCAGGAAGGACAGGGAGGAUCAGGAAGGACAGGCAGGGAAAGCAGGGAAGACAGGAAUGGCAGGACAGGGAACAUCAGGAAGGACAGGCAGGAAAGGAGGCAGAGGAAGGAAGGGAACAUCAGGAAGGACCAGGGCCUUCAGGAAGGACAGGGAGCAUCAGGAAGGACAGGGAAUGCCAGGAAAGAAGCCCAGGCAGGACAGGGAGCAUCAGGAAGGACAGAGAAUGCCAGGAAAGAAGCCCAGGCAGGACAGGGAGCAUCAGGAAGGACAGGGAAUGCCAGGAAAGAAGCCCAGGCAGGACAGGGAGCAUCAGGAAGGACAGGGAAUGCCAGGAAAGAGGCACGGGCAGGACAGGGAGCAUCAGGAAGGACAGGGAGCAUCAGGAAGGACAGGGAAUGCCAGGAAAGAAGCACAGGCAGGACAGGGAGCAUCAGGAAGGACAGGGAAUGCCAGGAAAGAGGCACGGGCAGGACAGGGAGCAUCAGGAAGGACAGGGGGCAUCAGGGAGGACAGGGAAUGCCAGGAAAGAGGCACGGGCAGGACAGGGAGCAUCAGGAGGGACAGGGAAUGCCAGGAAAGAGGCACGGGCAGGACAGGGAGCAUCAGGAAGGACAGGGAAUGCCAGGAAAGAGGCACAGGCAGGACAGGGAGCAUCAGGAGGGACAGGCAAGGAAUGCAAUCCCUGCCCACACCCCCCAGCCGGGAAGGGGUGAUGGCACCGGGGUGGCGCUGGGUGCUGUUGGCCUUUCUGGGGUUCCUCUCUCUCUCUCCCUCUCUCUCUCUCUUUUUUUUUAAAUCAAUUAAAGAAAAUAAUGCUUUCUGUUUGCCACCAGGCCCCGCCCGCCAUUGGCCAGGGCCGCCCACGUGA
rnacentral:lncRNA from 1 species